CCUCGCCUCCCCUCCCUUUCCCCGGGCGUCGGCUCCUUUCCGGGGCGGCGACCCGGCCUGCGGCUGCACUUCGUUAUUCUUCCCACCCCACCUCUCUCUGACCAGGCUUCUUGGGCAGAGUGCUUUCGCCAACCUGGACUAGCUGCUCCUGCGCUGACCGUUUUAUGUUUGGCUAGCGUGCCGUUCACCAGGUGAUUUCAAACCACCUUACGCGGUUGGGCGCAAAUUCUAUUGGUUAGUGGGCCCGACCGCCCUCACUUUCCAGGAGCUCUGAUGGCUCCUCUCUCGUCUCACGGUGGUGGCCCCAGAGCCUUCCUCUCUGAGUUAGCUCAAGGCAUAUCUUAGUGCCUUGUGUGUCAGGAAGAUGGACUCAGUCCCACGUGGAUCUUUUGCCCUUUUCUUACCCAAAGACAUGAGGAAGGCAUCAGCAAAUAUUCAUCACCCACUUUAGUUGUUUUCCCUUUGGGUUUUUGUUCAGAAAAUUGGAAAAACAAUAAAGGAAAAGAUCUCCCUUAA